UACGGGGGGGGCAAGCGUUGUUCGGAAUUACUGGGCGUAAAGGGCGCGUAGGCGGCCUGCUAAGUCGGACGUGAAAUCCCUCGGCUCAACCGGGGAACUGCGUCCGAUACUGGCGAGGCUUGAAUCCGGGAGAGGGAUGUGGAAUUCCAGGUGUAGCGGUGAAAUGCGUAGAUAUCUGGAGGAACACCAGAGGCGAAGGCGGCAUCCUGGACCGGUAUUGACGCUGAGGCGCGAAAGCUAGGGUAGCAAACGGG
rnacentral:rRNA from 1 species